GUGGGGAAUCUUAGACAAUGGGCGCAAGCCUGAUCUAGCCAUGCCGCGUGAGCGAUGAAGGCCUUAGGGUUGUAAAGCUCUUUCGUGGGGGAAGAUAAUGACUGUACCCCAAGAAGAAGCCCCGGCUAACUCCGUGCCAGCAGCCGCGGUAAUACGGAGGGGGCUAGCGUUGUUCGGAAUUACUGGGCGUAAAGCGCACGUAGGCGGACCAGAAAGUCAGAGGUGAAAGCCCGGGGCUCAACCCCGGAACUGCCUUUGAAACUCCUGGUCUUGAGGUCGAGAGAGGUGGGUGGAAUUCCGAGUGUAGAGGUGAAAUUCGUAGAUAUUCGGAGGAACACCAGUGGCGAAGGCGGCCCACUGGCUCGAUACUGACGCUGAGGUGCGAAAGCGUGGGGAGCAAACAGGAUUAGAAACCCCUGUAGUCC
rnacentral:rRNA from 1 species